rnacentral:rRNA from 1 species
UGGGGAAUAUUGCACAAUGGAGGGAACUCUGAUGCAGCGACGCCGCGUGAGUGAUGAAGGAAUUCGUUUCGUAAAACUCUGUUCUAUGGGAAGAAAAGGACUGUACCAUAGGAGAAAGUUCCGGCUAAAUACGUGCCAGCAGCCGCGGUAAUACGUAUGGAGCGAGCGUUUUCCGGAAUUAUUGGGCGUAAAGGGUGCGCAGGCGGCUUUACAAGUUGGAUGUGAAAUAUUGUGGCUCAACCACAAACGUGCAUCCAAAACUGGAAAGCUUGAGUUAAGGAGAGGUAAGUGGAAUUCCUGGUAUAGCGAUGGAAUGCGUAGAUAACAGUAGGAAUACCGGUGGCGAAGGUGACUUACUGGGCUUAAUCUAUCAAUCAGGCACGAAAGAGUGGGGAGCAAACAGG